GAUGAACGCUGGCGGCGUGCCUAAUACAUGCCAGUCGAGCGAACAGACGAGGAGCUUGCUCCUCUGACGUUAGCGGCGGACGGGUGAGUAACACGUGGAUAACCUACCUAUAAGACUGGGAUAACUUCGGGAAACCGGAGCUAAUACCGGAUAAUAUAUUGAACCGCAUGGUUCAAUAGUGAAAGACGGUUUUGCUGUCACUUAUAGAUGGAUCCGCGCCGCAUUAGCUAGUUGGUAAGGUAACGGCUUACCAAGGCGACGAUGCGUAGCCGACCUGAGAGGGUGAUCGGCCACACUGGAACUGAGACACGGUCCAGACUCCUACGGGAGGCAGCAGUAGGGAAUCUUCCGCAAUGGGCGAAAGCCUGACGGAGCAACGCCGCGUGAGUGAUGAAGGUCUUCGGGUCGUAAAACUCUGUUAUUAGGGAAGAACAAAUGUGUAAGUAACUAUGCACGUCUUGACGGUACCUAAUCAGAAAGCCACGGCUAACUACGUG
rnacentral:rRNA from 1 species